CCUGGGGUCCUGUGCAGUAGAGUCAACUGAAAGGCGUUCACUGGUGCUACUACACAGUAACUCGAGUUACUGCACAUUUAUUUAGCACUUGCUAAUACAAGUGCUAAACAAAUGCUCAGUAAUAACUGCACAGUAGCAUCUUGUGUAGAUGCGACCAGUGACUGCUUAUCUUGAAACUAAUCAGAAACCCAAUGUAUUUCCCAUCACCAGUGUCCUUGCAAUUCUCCCCUAGUUGCCAGGAAGCUUUAGAUCAGGGCUGUCC